rnacentral:rRNA from 1 species
GUACCUGCUCAGUGCCCUGAAUAAGGGUAAACAGCCGCUGUAUUUUGACGGUGCUAAGGUAGCGAAAUUCCUAGCCUUUUAAUUGGAGGCCUGCAUGAAUGGUUUGACGAGCGCUCAACUGUCUCUUUUCCGUGUGUAUUGAAAUUAGCUUCUGUGUGAAAAGACACAGAUGGUUGAGUAAGACGAAAAGACCCUGUGCAACUUUACUAGGUAGGUAGGUUGACUACUAUAAAGUUUAGCUGGGGCAGCUAGGGAAAAGGUAAAACUUCCCCAUUGAUUGUAUACUUAUAGGUUUUGAUCCAAUUAGUAGAUUGAUCAGUAGAAAAGUUACGCCAGGGAUAACAGCGUUAUCCUUCUGUGGAGGUCUUAUUUGCAGGAGGGAUUGCGACCUCGAUGUUGAAUUAGGGAUAUAGCGGGAAGGCGCAGCGGCUUUUCUUGUAGGUCUGUUCGACCUUUAAAACCCUACGUGAUCUGAGUUCAGACCGG